CUGCGGCAGCGACACUGUGUGUUGUUGGGUAGGGGUGCGUUCUGUAAGCCUGUGAAGGUGUGUCGUGAGGCAUGCUGGAGGUAUCAGAAGUGCGAAUGCUGACAUAAGUAACGAUAAAGCGGGUGAAAAGCCCGCUCGCCGGAAGACCAAGGGUUCCUGUCCAACGUUAAUCGGGGCAGGGUGAGUCGACCCCUAAGGCGAGGCCGAAAGGCGUAGUCGAUGGGAAACGGGUUAAUAUUCCCGUACUUGGUGUUACUGCGAAGGGGGGACGGAGAAGGCUAUGUUGGCCGGGCGACGGUUGUCCCGGUUUAAGCGUGUAGGUGUGUGUUCCAGGUAAAUCCGGUUCACUUUAACACUGAGGCGUGACGACGAGGCACUACGGUGCUGAAGCAACAAAUGCCCUGCUUCCAGGAAAAGCCUCUAAGCAUCAGGUAACAUCAAAUCGUACCCCAAACCGACACAGGUGGUCAGGUAGAGAAUACCAAGGCGCUUGAGAGAACUCGGGUGAAGGAACUAGGCAAAAUGGUGCCGUAACUUCGGGAGAAGGCACGCUGACACGUAGGUGAAGUGAUUUACUCAUGGAGCUGAAGUCAGUCGAAGAUACCAGCUGGCUGCAACUGUUUAUUAAAAACACAGCACUGUGCAAACACGAAAGUGGACGUAUACGGUGUGACGCCUGCCCGGUGCCGGAAGGUUAAUUGAUGGGGUCAGCGCAAGCGAAGCUCCUGAUCGAAGCCCCGGUAAACGGCGGCCGUAACUAUAACGGUCCUAAGGUAGCGAAAUUCCUUGUCGGGUAAGUUCCGACCUGCACGAAUGGCGUAAUGAUGGCCAGGCUGUCUCCACCCGAGACUCAGUGAAAUUGAACUCGCUGUGAAGAUGCAGUGUACCCGCGGCAAGACGGAAAGACCCCGUGAACCUUUACUAUAGCUUGACACUGAACAUUGAGCCUUGAUGUGUAGGAUAGGUGGGAGGCUUUGAAGUGUGGACGCCAGUCUGCAUGGAGCCGACCUUGAAAUACCACCCUUUAAUGUUUGAUGUUCUAACGUGGACCCGUUACCCGGGUUGCGGACAGUGUCUGGUGGGUAGUUUGACUGGGGCGGUCUCCUCCUAAAGAGUAACGGAGGAGCACG
rnacentral:rRNA from 1 species